AUUGAACGCUGGCGGCAGGCCUAACACAUGCAAGUCGAGCGGAUCGGCGGACGGGUGCGUAAUGCCUGGGAAUCUGCCUGGUCGUGGGGGAUAACGUCCGGAAACGGGCGCUAAUACCGCAUACUUGCAGUUGAGCCUAGUUGGGAUUAGCUAGUUGGUGGGGUAAAGGCCUACCAAGGCGACGACCCGUAACUGGUCUGAGAGGAUGAUCAGUCACACUGGAACUGAGACACGGUCCAGACUCCUACGGGAGGCAGCAGUGGGGAAUAUUGGACAAUGGGCGAAAGCCUGAUCCAGCCAUGCCGCGUGUGUGAAGAAGGUCUUCGGAUUGUAAAGCACUUUAAGUUGGGAGGCGUUACCAACAGAAUAAGCACCGGCUAACUUCGUGCCAGCAGCCGCGGUAAUUC
rnacentral:rRNA from 1 species